rnacentral:rRNA from 1 species
CCUACGGGGGGCAGCAGUGGGGAAUAUUGGACAAUGGGCGAAAGCCUGAUCCAGCGACGCCGCGUGGGUGAAGAAGGCCUGCGGGUUGUAAAGCCCUUUCGGUUGGGAAGCGUAACCAACAAAAGAAGCACCGGCUAACUCUGUGCCAGCAGCCGCGGUAAUACAGAGGGUGCAAGCGUUAAUCGGAAUUACUGGGCGUAAAGCGCGCGUAGGCGGCUUGACAAGUCGAGUGUGAAAUCCCCGGGCUUAACCUGGGACCUGCAUUCGAAACUGUCUUGCUAGAGUAUGGGAGAGGGAAGUGGAAUUUCAGGUGUAGCGGUGAAAUGCGUAGAUAUCUGAAGGAACAUCAGUGGCGAAAGCGACUUCCUGGACCAAACUGACGCUCAGGUGCGAAAGCGUGGGGAGCAAACAGGAUUAGAUACCCUUGUAGUC